rnacentral:rRNA from 1 species
GACGAACGCUGGCGGCGUGCUUAACACAUGCAAGUCGAACGGAAAGGCCCUGCUUUUGUGGGGUGCUCGAGUGGCGAACGGGUGAGUAACACGUGAGUAACCUGCCCUUGACUUUGGGAUAACUUCAGGAAACUGGGGCUAAUACCGGAUAGGAGCUCCUGCUGCAUGGUGGGGGUUGGAAAGUUUCGGCGGUUGGGGAUGGACUCGCGGCUUAUCAGCUUGUUGGUGGGGUAGUGGCUUACCAAGGCUUUGACGGGUAGCCGGCCUGAGAGGGUGACCGGCCACAGUGGGACUGAGAUACGGCCCAGACUCCUACGGGAGGCAGCAGUGGGGAAUAUUGCACAAUGGGCGGAAGCCUGAUGCAGCAACGCCGCGUGCGGGAUGACGGCCUUCGGGUUGUAAACCGCUUUCGCCUGUGACGAAGCGUGAGUGACGGUAAUGGGUAAAGAAGCACCGGCUAACUACGUG